rnacentral:misc_RNA from 1 species
GAUGAAGAACGUAGCGAAAUGCGAUAAGUAAUGUGAAUUGCAGAAUUCAGUGGAUCAUCGAAUCUUUGAACGCACAUUGCGCCCGCUAGUAUUCUGGCGGGCAUGCCUGUUCGAGCGUCAUUUCAACCAUCAAGCCCUGUUUAGGCUUGUGUUGGGGCCCUGCGGCUGCCGCAGCCCCCUAAAUGCAGUGGCGGGCUCGUUGUCACUCCGAGCGCAGUAGCGUAUCUCGCUCUGGGCGUGGCGGCGGGUGCUAGCCGUGAAACACCCACUAAGGUUGACCUCGGAUCAGGUAGGAAUACCCGCUGAACUUAAGCAUAUCAAUAAGCGGAGGA